rnacentral:rRNA from 1 species
CGUAGGGUGCGAGCGUUAAUCGGAAUUACUGGGCGUAAAGUGUGCGCAGGCGGCGCUGCAAGUCGAGUGUGAAAUCCCCGAGCUUAACUUGGGAAUUGCGCUCGAAACUACGGCGCUGGAGUAUGGCAGAGGAAGGUGGAAUUCCACGUGUAGCGGUGAAAUGCGUAGAGAUGUGGAGGAACACCGAUGGCGAAGGCAGCCUUCUGGGCCAAUACUGACGCUCAUGCACGAAAGCGUGGGGAGCAAACAGGAUUAGAUACCCUGGUAGUCCACGCCCUAAACGAUGAUGGCUAGUUGUUGGAGGAGUUAAAUCCUUUAGUAACGCAGCUAACGCGUGAAGUCAUCCGCCUGGGGAGUACGGUCGCAAGAUUA